UGGUGGUAGGCUGGGGUCCCUGAACCCUCCAGUUAGGCUGGGAGUGGAACAGAUCCCCCAUGAGGUCUGGGGCCAGGAGAUUUCUUCCUGAGGAUCCUGAUGCUCCAAGGCCUGUGACUUGGGAAGGGAGUAGGGAGGGGGCUGGUGGAGUGUGUGGCUGGUGGAGACCUGGAUCCAGGCCCCUGCAGAGGGAUGGAUGGAUGUCCCCCACUGGUGGCCCUGGUCUACCUUGGGCUACCUUGAUGGAGUGUAGGCUCCAGCGGAGGGUACAGGGUGUGGGAGCGGGCUCCCUGUCUAGUUGAGGGGCUCAUAGGGGCAUAGCAGGGCUCCUGGAGCCCAAAGGGCUCAUGUCCAUCUCCCCAGGUUCAGAGACGCAUCAUGCUGCCAUGAGGCGCAGUAGAACAGCCCUCUCCUUUCCACUAAGAGAGCCAGCCCGAGUGUCGGCAGAUUCUGGCUUGGACCCUUUGAUCCCCCUUGGCAGUGGUGUCAUCCGGAGAUGCUUCUCGGGGACCCCAUUGCUGCCGCCACUGUUGAGCCACCUUGGGACCUCUGGAGAGGUGGAGCCUAGUGACUGUGUGGUCUUCACCAUCGAGGCUCAAGGGAAUGAGCAAAGCCACAGCCUGGUCCCAAGCAGGUGAGGAGGUAUAUGGGAACCAAGGAGUCCUGUCCCAGGAGAGGGAGACCUCCUUAUCUAGCUGAACCUUUCUUUAACUUGUUCAGAAAGCAUUUAUUAAGCACCCACUCUGUGUCAGGCCCUGUCCUGGGAACACAGCCAUGGGCAAGCAGGUGUUCAUGGGCUGAUGGUAGAAAUAGACUCAUGCCAGCUGGAUAGAUCAGGGCGAUAUGGGAGCACUGGGGACUUGGGGGGAGGAAGGAAUGCUUGGAAGAAGUGGCAAGCAAGCUUAGCCUGAAGGAUGAAGAGAUGUCAGCCAGGAGGAGCACAGGGAAGUGUAAGCCAAUUAGAAGAAACAGCAUGCAGCCUUCCUGCUGUGGUGCAGUGGGUUAAGAAUCCAGUGUUGUCUCUUUGGUGGCAAGGGUUCAAUCCCCAGCCUGAUGCAGUGGGUUAAGGAUCCGGCAUUGCCAUAGCUGUGGCGUACGUUGCAGCUGCAGCUCAGAUUUGAUUCUGGCCUGGGAACUUCCAUAUGCUGUGAGUGCAGAAAAAAAAAAAAAAAAGAAAGAAAGAAAGAAAGAAAAAGAAACAAGUUUUGCAGUCUUGGACUCAAGAAGAUCAGGUGCAUGAGGAAUUGAACACAGAUCAGUGUAGCUGGAGGGUGGGUGGGGAGCCUGGGGAGAUGGGCAGGGCAUGACCACACAAGAUCUUAUAGGUAUAAUGGGGAGCCAUGGGUGGUUUUUCAAGGGAGUGAGUUAAUUAGAUUGGAAUUUUAAAAAUUCCCUACAGCUGCUGUAGGGAGAACUGUCAGGAACCAGGGUGGAAAUAGCGGGAGCCCAACAAAGAGGCCUGGGCAGUUCUGAGCAGAAAAUGGUGGUACCUGGACCAGGGUGGAAGCCAAGAGCUGGAGAGAGCAAGCAUAUUCAGAAGUUCAGGCAGAUACAAGAUUUCUGAAGUGGACACACAGGCACUGGUGGACAUCAGCAGAGGGAAAGAGAGAGGGAGGGGUGGUGUGGACAGCUCCUGGU
rnacentral:lncRNA from 1 species